GUCCCCGUAGCUCAGUCGGAUAGAGCAUCGGUUUCCUAAACCGAGGGUCGGAGGUUCGAAUCCUCUCGGGGACGCCA
rnacentral:tRNA from 1 species